GGGUUUUCCUGGUAAGGUUUUUA
rnacentral:snRNA from 1 species